rnacentral:rRNA from 1 species
UACGAAGGGUGCAAGCGUUACUCGGAAUUACUGGGCGUAAAGCGUGCGUAGGUGGUUCGUUAAGUCUGAUGUGAAAGCCCUGGGCUCAACCUGGGAAUGGCAUUGGAUACUGGCGACCUAGAGUGCGGUAGAGGGGUGUGGAAUUCCCGGUGUAGCAGUGAAAUGCGUAGAUAUCGGGAGGAACAUCUGUGGCGAAGGCGACACCCUGGACCAGCACUGACACUGAGGCACGAAAGCGUGGGGGAGCAAACAGGA